rnacentral:tRNA from 1 species
UCCGCGGUAACUCAAUGGCAGAGUGAGCGCCUGUUAAGCGCUAAGUUGAAGGUUCGAGUCCUUCCCGCGGAG